AAAGUUUCAAUGAUCAUUAGAAAUACAGGUGAUGGACAUUCAAGAAACAUCGUUCUCUUUUAAAACACAAUAUUCUGUUUUGUUUUUGUUUUUGUUUUUAAAGAUCCCUGUCUUUUUGUACAUUCCUUAAUAUCUAGUAUUUGUUCCAACACAAUGUUGGUAGCCAGAAGCCACCGACCUGAGGUUGGCAACUCUUAGAGAACGCAGCUUUCCUCUAUAGAACAGCAAGUUGCUACGGUUCAGCCAAAUUCUAUCUGUCUAAUAAAAGGCACAGAUCUCCCUCCGCGCCCCGGCUUGGGCAGGUAACUCACCAGUUCAGCUCCCUCUCCACCGCGCUCUGUGGAAACUGAAAGUGGCCACUGAGCGGGCGCUGUUCGCUAGUUCAUAGACUCUACUGCCGCUGCCGAGAAAUCACGUGGAUUCAAAGUGCCAGCCCCAGGGCGCGCGAGUAGCGUGCCCGGAACCCGCCGCGGCUUGGAGAUCGCAGCGGGACAUGCCUCUCUGACUACUGAGACUGGAGACGAUGUAGGAUGAAGGCAGGAGGAGCCACUGAGCAAAACUUCGUGGAGUUGGGUCCAGGGUCCAGUGGCGACAGCGGCUCAUCACCUGAGACCUGACCUGGACAAGCGCGGCCUCCAGGUGUGUCUCUGCUGGUCCCUGGGUGCAAGGGUUGCCUAGGCUACAGAAGAAAGCUUGGUGCAGGGAUAAGGGAUGGAAAGAGGUGGGCGGUAAGAAAAGGACUACAGGGCCAGCGUCAGCCCUGGAAAGUUCCUGUCUCUGUUCCAAGUUCUACAACCUGCCCUGCCUCUUGUCUUUGUCCCAGAACAGGAGGCCAGGCUCCUCCUGAGGAUGGUUUCUGUGACAUCCCACAGUGAAGCAACUUUCCCAGAAUGCUCUGGGGGAGGAAUGGGGAGACAGUGCAUUAGCACUGUAGGGCAGGGUCAUCAGCACACCCAUGACCCCCAAACCUCAGGCUCAAGUCCUCCUCUUAAGUGCUGGCUACAUCACCUUAGGCCAGUGGUUCUCAGCCUUCCUAAUGCUGGGACCCUUUAAUACUGCAGCCUCACGCUGUGCUGACCCCCAACCAUAACAUUAUUCUCGUUGCUACUUCAUAGCUGUAAUUUUGCUACUGUUACGAAUCAUAAUGAAAUCAUUUGACUUGGCAGAGGUUGGGUCCCCCAGAUUGAGAAACACUGCCCUAGACAAAAGUCUUGACUCUGAGUUUCAGUUCUGUCAUCUGUCCUGAGGACCAGAGAAGGAGCACCUUCCAAUUCCUUCAGAAGAAGUUAGAGCAGAUGUGCUGUGUGCCCAAAACUCUUAAGAAAUCCUUCUACGUUAGUCCCCUUCUUUGGAUCUCAAAUUCCUGUGACCUUCUAACCUCCUCCCUCCCGGGACCGAGCCGGAAAUCUAGAAAGUUCUUGACAGGCAAGAGUGUGUGUGGGGGGGAGUCAUUAUUAUUUUGACUGAUUACUUAUGUGUGACUCUUAGCUUUCCCAACCUUACCUGGCUCGCCUCUUACAAAUAGAUGCCUUGUUUUUAGCCAGCCUCCGUUUCCUAUUGUCACAUGGUGGAGUCCCAGCCUGUGGUACAUGGUGGGCUGUCAUCUGUUAGUGUGAGAAGAGUUACAGCCCAACAGUAAGGCUCACCCCAUAUUCUCCCAACCAUUAUGUGUUGCUGGACCUACAUCCUUCCCUGCUGACAGAGGGCUUUCAGUGGACACAGACAAGUAGCCACCACCCAGAAAGACAAGCACGGGCCAUAUUUAGAUGUACUUAAACCCACACAGCCCCAUGAAGGAUCCAGGCAGAGGUUAACAUCUCAUUAGAUGUCUCAUCCAGAGAUGUCAAGGUCACACAAUAAUGGCAAUGAGAAACACCGGAUCGGAAACCCAGUUCCAUGCCUGUUGUGGAAACAGGCCUGCCAAUAAGGGUUCUGAGAGAACCAUUUCCCCAGAGUUACCCUGUGUUCGGUCUGUGUUAUGAAGGUAUCCUAUGAGCUCAGAUGCUGCCAUCUUCAUGAGACUAGGACAUUAGACCCUCUCCUGAGUUUCUGGCCACUCCUCCCAGUCACUUGUGUGCAAUUCUGCCCUAAUUGCAUGAGGCCUCUAGACAGGGCAAGAGUAUAUAGGCUGGGGAGAACUAGAGGGGAAGGCUCCACCUAUACAGCUCUGGGGAAGCCAUCAAGCCAUCGUCCAUGCUGGGUGGAGACUUUCCAGUGUAGCUGCUUUGGGGUCACUGUGCUCUGUAAGUAAGAAAGUACAAUAAACUCACUGGUUCCCCGGGGAGAACUGUGGUGAAACGGACUUUUGGGUUGUAAUUAGGAGGGGAAGAUAGAUGCUGUUCACAUCUCCCCAGGGAAAGACUUUUCAUAGCAGCUCAACCAAUGGCUUGAAAACCAUGAAUACCAGGUUCCCUUGGCUAAAGUACAUAGGGUUCUUCUUUGGUGGCUUGCAUGAUUAUCCACUUUGGAGAGCUGGGUCCCUGUGUGUGAGAACUGGCCCAAAGUGCCAGAAGAUUGAAGAAGGGUGAACAGACGGAGACCUGGACAGAGUACACUUCACUGGGAACUUACUGCAAGUGUUACAGCUCUGAAGAAAAAGCCUUCCCCAAUGGAACAGCUCUGCUCUGAGGGGGAACAUUUCCCCAGUGCAACUGUUGCUGCUCUUAAGGCUAAGAUAUUCCUUGGCAGUUAGGUUUGUGUAACAAACCUCAUGCAAGAGGGUAUCUGCUAUUGCUCAGGUAAGCAGCAACAAUACAGGGAACUGAACAGGAGACCUCUUUGUGUGUGUAUGUGUGUGUGUGUGUGUGUGUGUGUGUGUGUGUCCACAGGAGAUUUCCAAGGCAUGGAUUGGUGAGAUUUCAAGUCAAGCUCAGGGAUUGGUGGGAUUUCAAGACAAGCUCAGGGAUUGGUGGGAUUUCAAGAUCAGGGAUUGGCGGGUUUUGAUAGGUUUUCAAACCUGGAAGUGGGCUCGAACCUUUAACCUUACACUUACAGAUGGAAAUAUUAGGUGACUGUAAGACAAGUGGAUCCCCACACCCCAAGGAGGUAGAAAGGGUCCUUCAUUUGGGAAAAAAAGUCCCCUUUACCUAAGGCCUAAUAAACCAGCAGCCUACAGACCAGCAGCCUACGGACCAGAGAUGAGAAGAUGUACUGCUCAGAGCCCUGGCUGGGGGAAGCACUGUUUGCUGUCUGGAAAGAGCAGAGCCAUAGCCUCCAGGCAAUGGAUUCUAAUCAGGUUUGCCAGCAUCUGACCUGGGCCAAGGUUGUCCUGGUCCUUAGAGGUUAACCCAAUGCACAGCUUCUGGAAUGGGGGAGGGGGGCAAAGGAAUGGGGGGUGGGCGACACAGAGGAGUAGGUUUCAGAGAGGGUCUGUCUGUUCUGUUCGAACAAGCCUCUGCUCUCUGGGUUGCCAUAGAUCCUGUUAUAUGCUCUCUGGGAACCUGUAAGUGCCCCACCCCCCAACAGACCUAGAGACCUGCUCCAAAAUGACAGACAAGGAUACUGGGGGUGGGGGCAGUACACCUGUUUUCUAUUAUUGCUAAGGAUGCCUUCCAAGGUCCAAGCUAGGGUAUGGGGGCUGCAAGAGGACACUCUAAAGGGCUUCUCAGAAUGUCCUUAGUGAUGUAAGAGUUUCUGGGCAUGACAUAGGGGUUACCUGGGUGGCAAGCUCUCCUGCCUAUGCUCUGUAGCAUUAAGGGAAAGCCUUGGGAUUUAGGGGCUCCUUAAGGGAGAGAUCCACUGUAGCUUCUAGCCAAUGUCGCUACCCUAGAGACCAUUACAGAGCCUGAAAUUCCUGUUGGACAUCUGGGGCUGACAAACACUUUUUUUUUUAGAUUUAUUUUUAUUUAUGUAUGAGUGCUUUGCCUGUUUGUAUGUAUGCUAAGUGCAUGUCUGGUGCCCUCAGGGACAGAAGAUGGCAUUGGAUCUCCUGGAAACUGGAGUUAGGUACAGUUAUGAACCACCACGAAGGUGCUUAGAGCCAAACCUGGGUCCUCUGCAAGAGCAACAAGUGCUGUUAACUGCUGAGCCAUCUCUCCAGCCCCUAAGCAUUUUUUUUUCCAGGAACCUUUCAAGAACCCUCCCCACGCCCCUGGCUGCAUCUAGUAUCAGACUCAUGCUCUGAGAUCCAAGGGCAGAAGAGAACAGGGAUAAGGGGAGCUCAGACCAUGAAAAGGGAGCGGAGAGGGCUUGGAACUUGCUGCCUAGUCCAGCUUAAUUGGUGAGAUCCAGGCCAAUGAGAGUCCUGGUCUCAGAUGCAGUAGACAGUGAACAAGUGAGUUUAUACUCUGGUCUCUACAAGCAGGCACAAAGACACAUACACACCUGCACACACAUGAACACAAAGAUUCACAAAUGCACGCACACAUGCAUUUGUUUGUUUGUUUGUUUGUUUGUUUGUUUGUUUGUUUUUUCAAGUCAGGGUUUCUCUAUAUAGCCCUGAUCAUCCUGGAACUCAUUCCGUAAACCAGAUUGGCCUCGAACUCAAAGAUCUGCCUGUCUCUGCCUCCUAAGUGCUGGGAUUAAAGGCAUGUGCCGCCACCACCCGGCUGUACAUGCAUUUUUAAAAAGGUGACUUUACUUGUCUCACAGUACACAUACAUAAUAGCCUGUUGUGGAGGCUGGAAAGUCUUAUGGCAUCAUAAGUAUGGCCUCAGAAAAGAUAUCAUACUGCUUCAACUCCCAGUAAAGACAGGCAAGGGGGCACAGGUGGAGAGGGGGGAAGACAAGGGGUGGUCCGGCUUUAUCACAGUCUGCUUUGGGAGUCACUAAUCCACUCCUGAUUGAUCAGGAGCUCACGACCCUGAGAAUCAGCUGAAAAUUUAUAAAAAUAAAAAAAAAUGCAGAAACCCCU
rnacentral:lncRNA from 1 species